rnacentral:rRNA from 1 species
CCUACGGUGGACAGCAGUGAGGAAUAUUGGUCAAUGGGCGCGAGCCUGAACCAGCCAAGUCGCGUGAGGGAAGACGGUCCUAUGGAUUGUAAACCUCUUUUGUCGGGGAGCAAAAGACGCCACGCGUGGCGUUCCGAGAGUACCCGAAGAAAAAGCAUCGGCUAACUCCGUGCCAGCAGCCGCGGUAAUACGGAGGAUGCGAGCUUUAUCCGGAUUUAUUGGGUUAAAAGGGUGCGCAGGCGGAAGAGCAAGUCAGCGGUAAAAUUGAGAGGCUCAACCUCGUCGAGCCGUUGAAACUGGUUUUCUUGAGUGAGCGAGAAGUAUGCGGAAUGCGUGGUGUAGCGGUGAAAUGCAUAGAUAUCACGCAGAACUCCGAUUGCGAAGGCAGCAUACCGGCGCUCAACUGACGCUCAUGCACGAAAGUGUGGGUAUCGAACAGGAUUAGAUACCCGGGUAGUC